rnacentral:tRNA from 1 species
GUUGUCGUGGCCGAGUUGUUAAGGCGAUGGACUAGAAAUCCAUUGGGAUCUUCCCGCACCGGUUCGAAUCCUGCUGACAUCG